rnacentral:rRNA from 1 species
UUAAGCGACUAAGCGUACACGGUGGAUGCCCUGGCAGUCAGAGGCGAUGAAGGACGUGCUAAUCUGCGAUAAGCGUCGGUAAGGUGAUAUGAACCGUUAUAACCGGCGAUUUCCGAAUGGGGAAACCCAGUGUGAUUCGUCACACUAUCAUUAACUGAAUCCAUAGGUUAAUGAGGCGAACCGGGGGAACUGAAACAUCUAAGUACCCCGAGGAAAAGAAAUCAACCGAGAUUCCCCCAGUAGCGGCGAGCGAACGGGGAGGAGCCCAGAGCCUGAAUCAGUGUGUGUGUUAGUGGAAGCGUCUGGAAAGGCGCGCGAUACAGGGUGACAGCCCCGUACACAAAAAUGCACAUGCUGUGAGCUCGAUGAGUAGGGCGGGACACGUGGUAUCCUGUCUGAAUAUGGGGGGACCAUCCUCCAAGGCUAAAUACUCCUGACUGACCGAUAGUGAACCAGUACCGUGAGGGAAAGGCGAAAAGAACCCCGGCGAGGGGAGUGAAAAAGAACCUGAAACCGUGUACGUACAAGCAGUGGGAGCCUCUUUAUGGGGUGACUGCGUACCUUUUGUAUAAUGGGUCAGCGACUUAUAUUCUGUAGCAAGGUUAACCGAAUAGGGGAGCCGAAGGGAAACCGAGUCUUAACUGGGCGUUAAGUUGCAGGGUAUAGACCCGAAACCCGGUGAUCUAGCCAUGGGCAGGUUGAAGGUUGGGUAACACUAACUGGAGGACCGAACCGACUAAUGUUGAAAAAUUAGCGGAUGACUUGUGGCUGGGGGUGAAAGGCCAAUCAAACCGGGAGAUAGCUGGUUCUCCCCGAAAGCUAUUUAGGUAGCGCCUCGUGAAUUCAUCUCCGGGGGUAGAGCACUGUUUCGGCAAGGGGGUCAUCCCGACUUACCAACCCGAUGCAAACUGCGAAUACCGGAGAAUGUUAUCACGGGAGACACACGGCGGGUGCUAACGUCCGUCGUGAAGAGGGAAACAACCCAGACCGCCAGCUAAGGUCCCAAAGUCAUGGUUAAGUGGGAAACGAUGUGGGAAGGCCCAGACAGCCAGGAUGUUGGCUUAGAAGCAGCCAUCAUUUAAAGAAAGCGUAAUAGCUCACUGGUCGAGUCGGCCUGCGCGGAAGAUGUAACGGGGCUAAACCAUGCACCGAAGCUGCGGCAGCGACGCUUAUGCGUUGUUGGGUAGGGGAGCGUUCUGUAAGCCUGCGAAGGUGUACUGUGAGGUAUGCUGGAGGUAUCAGAAGUGCGAAUGCUGACAUAAGUAACGAUAAAGCGGGUGAAAAGCCCGCUCGCCGGAAGACCAAGGGUUCCUGUCCAACGUUAAUCGGGGCAGGGUGAGUCGACCCCUAAGGCGAGGCCGAAAGGCGUAGUCGAUGGGAAACAGGUUAAUAUUCCUGUACUUGGUGUUACUGCGAAGGGGGGACGGAGAAGGCUAUGUUGGCCGGGCGACGGUUGUCCCGGUUUAAGCGUGUAGGCUGGUUUUCCAGGCAAAUCCGGAAAAUCAAGGCUGAGGCGUGAUGACGAGGCACUACGGUGCUGAAGCAACAAAUGCCCUGCUUCCAGGAAAAGCCUCUAAGCAUCAGGUAACAUCAAAUCGUACCCCAAACCGACACAGGUGGUCAGGUAGAGAAUACCAAGGCGCUUGAGAGAACUCGGGUGAAGGAACUAGGCAAAAUGGUGCCGUAACUUCGGGAGAAGGCACGCUGAUAUGUAGGUGAAGCCCCUUGCGCGUGGAGCUGAAAUCAGUCGAAGAUACCAGCUGGCUGCAACUGUUUAUUAAAAACACAGCACUGUGCAAACACGAAAGUGGACGUAUACGGUGUGACGCCUGCCCGGUGCCGGAAGGUUAAUUGAUGGGGUUAGCGGUAACGCGAAGCUCUUGAUCGAAGCCCCGGUAAACGGCGGCCGUAACUAUAACGGUCCUAAGGUAGCGAAAUUCCUUGUCGGGUAAGUUCCGACCUGCACGAAUGGCGUAAUGAUGGCCAGGCUGUCUCCACCCGAGACUCAGUGAAAUUGAACUCGCUGUGAAGAUGCAGUGUACCCGCGGCAAGACGGAAAGACCCCGUGAACCUUUACUAUAGCUUGACACUGAACAUUGAGCCUUGAUGUGUAGGAUAGGUGGGAGGCUUUGAAGUGUGGACGCCAGUCUGCAUGGAGCCGACCUUGAAAUACCACCCUUUAAUGUUUGAUGUUCUAACGUUGGCCCCUAAUCGGGGUUGCGGACAGUGUCUGGUGGGUAGUUUGACUGGGGCGGUCUCCUCCUAAAGAGUAACGGAGGAGCACGAAGGUUGGCUAAUCCUGGUCGGACAUCAGGAGGUUAGUGCAAUGGCAUAAGCCAGCUUGACUGCGAGCGUGACGGCGCGAGCAGGUGCGAAAGCAGGUCAUAGUGAUCCGGUGGUUCUGAAUGGAAGGGCCAUCGCUCAACGGAUAAAAGGUACUCCGGGGAUAACAGGCUGAUACCGCCCAAGAGUUCAUAUCGACGGCGGUGUUUGGCACCUCGAUGUCGGCUCAUCACAUCCUGGGGCUGAAGUAGGUCCCAAGGGUAUGGCUGUUCGCCAUUUAAAGUGGUACGCGAGCUGGGUUUAGAACGUCGUGAGACAGUUCGGUCCCUAUCUGCCGUGGGCGCUGGAGAACUGAGGGGGGCUGCUCCUAGUACGAGAGGACCGGAGUGGACGCAUCACUGGUGUUCGGGUUGUCAUGCCAAUGGCACUGCCCGGUAGCUAAAUGCGGAAGAGAUAAGUGCUGAAAGCAUCUAAGCACGAAACUUGCCCCGAGAUGAGUUCUCCCUGACUCCUUGAGAGUCCUGAAGGAACGUUGAAGACGACGACGUUGAUAGGCCGGGUGUGUAAGCGCAGCGAUGCGUUGAGCUAACCGGUACUAAUGAACCGUGAGGCUUAACCUU